rnacentral:lncRNA from 9 species
UUUUGCAGAAUGCUUAUUCGAUGUUUGUGUGUGUUACAUUGUCAGGGAAAUCCCCCUUAAUUAAAUAAUCAUUAGAUUGUCCUCUUUCCAGAGUUAGGCAUUCAACAAUUUGAUGCCCUAUUUUCCUAGUCCCAUAGUAUUAUAAUUCUCAUAUUAUCAAUCCUCCACCACUUAACUGUAAUUCCAAAAUCAAAAAGCUCUGAAAAUCAAAGGUUUUGGGGUUUUAUUUUUCAAGUUUGGCACAAAGCUAUUUGGUGGCAAAAUCAGACCCGAAAUGAAGUAAGGCUAUUUAUAGUCUUUCUUUAUCCUACUCACAGUAGAUAUUGAUACGCACUUCUGCAUAUAUAUUAUGUGUUUGACUAUAGGAUGCCACUGUGGACUCAUCUGGAGGGUGACAAGGAAUAUGUACCAUAUUACAUUUCAAAAUUUAAAAUUAUCUUAUUUAAUCUUUCAAUAUCAUAAAUAAGUACUCAGUUGGACCUCCAUGAUUACUUUCUAAAACUUCAGUAUGAUAUUUAACUGCAUUUAAUUAUAGUGUAACAAAAAUUAAAAUGAGUAUAUUCUCUCUUGGAGAAAUAAUGAGAUGAGAAAAUGUCUUUUCCAAUUCAACAAUCCUAUUGCAUGAAUGAAAGAUAUAUUUUUCCUUUAAUAAGAAAGAAUUGUCUAGGUGUUAAUAUUAUAUUUUGAUGUUAUUAGACAUAUUUAUGUUUAGUGCUUAUGGCUAUAUUUAAGUAAGUUAACACUAUAGUUUACAUCCUUUGUAGAAGCUUCCCAUACAAUUAAAUUGUUUCUUAUUAAUGUGGAAAUAUACAAGUUAAUUAUUUAAAGCUAGAUUCAAUAGGGAGUUUCCGUUGUCUCAGUGGUUAAUGAAUCCAACUAGGAACCAUGAGCCACUAAGGGAACUCCGAUCACUGAAACAUUAUUAACAAUGAUUCUAUAAUGUAGAGAACAUAUAAAAUUUAGACAUAUACCUCAAAGGACCCUCCAUAGCAUCCUCAAACUGUGAGAUUUAAUUUACUUCUCUCUUUACUCAGGUCAAAGGGCUUUACUGCUAAAACCACUUAAUCAUAAAACUAGAAAGCAAAAAUUUUGAAAGCAAAGUUAAAGUUUCCUUUCCCUCUCUUAAUUACAAAAUUUAAAAAAAUAGAAUGAUGCACCAAGUAACUCUAACACGAGAGAAAAUAUGACUAUUUGCAUGCUAUUUUAAGAAAAGUAUCAUCAUUUUAGUCAUUACUGACACUCUGGCUUUAGCUUCUAUCUAGCCUUACAAUUAAAAUUAUUCAAUAAAAGUACAUAAAAUAGUAUCUAAGUCCUAAAUAUUUACAAAAACUUUCCAUGGCAGAAGUUAGAAUAUUCAGAGAAUUGACAAGCAGCACAUGAAUGUCUUUUAAACAAUAACAAGAUAUUCCAAAUUCUCAAUGUAAAUGUAUUAGGAUGCUCAACCAAAGUAAACCAGACUUUAUACAAAUGUGCCCACAGCAAACAAUAACCUCAUUAUGUUCUCCCCAUAAAAUCCAACACUAUAAAUAAGAAUAAAUCAUUCUUUCUGUCCUUAAAGGUGUUGUUUUUGUCUUGCUUAAACCUGGGAUAUCAUUUCAAAGUAAAUUUCCUAAAGGAACAUAAACAUAGAUAUAUAAAGAGGCUUGCUUUUAAAAAGUAGCUCAAGUAAUCAGAUUCUCUCACCAAAGGCUUUGUUUGGUGGGGGUUUUUUGUUUGGUUAGGGUUUUUUUUUGUUUUUUUUUUUUCCUUUCUCUCACAAAUUCUUCUUAGAAGGUCUAUGGUUAGUGGCAAGGUCAACUUUGCCUUACUACAAGUCCCUAAUGACUAAAUUGGUAAUCUGGUAUCUGAGAAGUCAUUUGUUGUCAAAUGUCUAUUAUCAACCCUUCAGAAGAGUAAGAGAAUACAAUGCCUUAUUAGGACUUGUCCAAGUUAGGGUAGCGUUUCAAUCUUAUUGAACUCUAUAUGUGCAUAGGUAAAAAUGUGAUUGUUUUGUAGUCUAUAAAUACAUCUCAGCCCAAGCAAGCAGCAAGACACCUCAUUCUAGAAAGUCAAACGCUGCAAUGUGUCACUUUCAAACUUCUCUCACUGGUCCCAAGAAAAUGUAUACAGAUUUCAAAUAAAGUUAUUUAAAGUAGAUUCUGGUAUACAGACACCCACGUACUC